GCAUAUCAAUAAGCGGAGGAAAAAGAAACCAACAGGGAUUGCCCCUAGUAACGGCGAGUGAAGCGGCAAGAGCUCAAAUUUGAAAUCUGGCUCCUCCGGGGUCCGAGUUGUAAUUUGCAGAGGAUGCUUCGGGUGCGGUCCCCGUCUAAGUACCCUGGAAUGGGUCGUCAUAGAGGGUGAGAAUCCCGUCUGGGACGGGUGGCCGUGUCCGUGUGAAGCUCCUUCGACGAGUCGAGUUGUUUGGGAAUGCAGCUCUAAAUGGGUGGUAAAUUUCAUCUAAAGCUAAAUAUUGGCCGGAGACCGAUAGCGCACAAGUAGAGUGAUCGAAAGAUGAAAAGCACUUUGAAAAGAGAGUUAAACAGCACGUGAAAUUGUUGAAAGGGAAGCGCUUGCGACCAGACUCGCCCGCGGGGGUUCAGCCGGUACUCGUACCGGUGUACUCCCCCGUGGGCGGGCCAGCGUCGGUUUGGGCGGCCGGUCAAAGGCCUCCGGAAUGUAUCGCCCUUCGGGGCGUCUUAUAGCCGGGGGUGCAAUGCGGCCAGCCUGGACCGAGGAACGCGCUUCGGCUCGGACGCUGGCGUAAUGGUCGUAAGCGGCCCGUCUUGAAACACGGACCAAGGAGUCUAACAUCUACGCGAGUGUUCGGGUGUCAAACCCGUCCGCGCAGUGAAAGCGAACGGAGGUGGGAACCCCGUACGGGGUGCACCAUCGACCGAUCCUGAUGUCUUCGGAUGGAUUUGAGUAAGAGCGUAGCUGUUGGGACCCGAAAGAUGGUGAACUAUGCCUGAAUAGGGCGAAGCCAGAGGAAACUCUGGUGGAGGCUCGCAGCGGUUCUGACGUGCAAAUCGAUCGUCGAAUUUUGGGGUAUAGGGGCGAAAGACUAAUCGAACCAUCUGGUAGCUGGUUCCUGCCGA
rnacentral:rRNA from 1 species